rnacentral:misc_RNA from 1 species
AACGCACGAGACCUGCGGACCUGCGGAGGGAUCAUUACAGAGUUGCAAAACUCCAAACCAUUGUGAACUUACCUUUGCCGUUGCUUCGGCGGGCGGCCCGGGUCCCGACCCGGCGCCCCCCGGCCCCGUCAGGGGCGCCCGCCGGAGGUAAACCAAACUCUUGAAUUGUAUGGCCUCUCUGAGUCUUCUGUACUGAAUAAGUCAAAACUUUUAGCAACGGAUCUCUAGAUCGGAAGAGCA